UCUUAAACUUCUACCAAACAAACUAAAAAUUUUAAAAACCUCAAACUUAAAUCUUUCUCCACUCUCCAGCUGUGGCUCCCUCCCUUACCAUUUAAAACCAAACCCCAAAAUCUUCCCACCCAAAAUAAAAAUUAAGAAAGCCCAAAAUUUUUCCUCUAAAAUUUUAAAACCUAAUCAGAUAACCUAUUCCUCCUACCACUUUAAACACCUAGAUCCCUUUCCCCUCUUCCCAUUUCUUUCUUUUCUUCGCCCCCUCCCCUCCUCUCCCUCCAUCUUUGUUUAUCUUAGUUUUUGGUUCCAUUUGAAUUUUUAUAUGUAAUGUUUUUCUUAUCAACUUUUUAAUUUUUGUAGAUUUUUACAAUAUGAAAUUCUUCAAGUAGAUGAGGCAUAUUAAUGAAAAAAGAACAGAUAAAUGAAGAAUUGAGACGAAUGCUGAUCAAUUUAAGGUGCAUGCACUUGAAGACCUUGGAAGGAGAGAUAGAGGAAGACUAUCCUGCUUUGAACUCGAAUAAGAUUGUGUAUGAAAAAAAUUGUAUAUUGUGACUAUUCUUAAAAUUGUAAAGCAUAAUUAUAUGUAACUUGAUAAUUGUUUUUGAAUCUCAAAAUUUGUAACCACUUUUUGUAACUUCUAUGACAAACAAAACUAGUGAUUCUUUUUUAAA